rnacentral:other from 1 species
GCCAGCCUGCAAAGCAGGUACUGGCGGUAACCGUUUAUUGAACCAACAUUCAAUGAACAGGGGGCUCGACUCGAAAAAUCGGUUCGGUGUGCGAAGUUCCGCCAGUACGGAAAUGCCUAAAGAACCGCGGAGAGUUCCCACCGUCUUAGGACGGGUUCAUGAACGGCCCGCCUGGUACGGCCCCGCGGGUUGGCU